AUGGAGAAAAGGUGCUGCUGCCUAUUGUAUGGGAUUACCGUGAAAAGGAGAAUGAAUCGCCAUGCAAUGCUGGCUGAGACCUCCAGCAUACUAAAGAAUUCUCACCACCUCAAUAGAAACCACAGAGGAUACCUGCUGCAAGCUUCGGUGCAUUUAUUAAUUCUUAAUGCAUUCAGUCCUUGUUGCUUCUCAAAGACAGAUUAAACCUGAGCCUUCUAGUCUUUUAUCCCUGACCCCAAGCAGACAAUGUCGGCGUGCUUAAUAUCAGUUUUCCUAAUGGAGUUCCCACUGGAGCGGUAAACAAAGGAUGGUUGAAUUGGAUAUUAAUUGUGUUCUAUCAGGGGUGAUUAUCAGAGAAGAUGCAUGCAGAUGUUUGCCUCUAUGUCCUCAUUGUGUUUGUGUAUCUAGUGAAUCUAAUUUUAGGCUUGGAGAAUAUCUAAGCAUAUGAUUACAGUCAUUCCUUUCAGUGAGACGCGGACACAAUGGCUCCUGCAGGUUGAUUGAAAUAUAAUACAAAGACACAGAGUAGCCAUUAAUUCUCAAACACAAUGUGCAUUGAGACACCUGGAGUUCAAACUCAUUUUAAGGAUCUGCUCCUCUGGGAUUUGAAGGGAAUGUCAAGUAAAAGUAAACAAGGUGCUUUGCAUAUUAUUUGUGGUUUGCUUUUCAGGAACCAAUGUCAGCCAUUUUCAUGGUGUCGGUGGACCUGACAACUGUUUCAGACCUAUUAAAUGAGCGUGUUCAAGAGGAGUGUAUGAGUAUCAUUAAUAAGAGUAAAUAGAAAACAACACUCAAUCCAUCCAUCGUACAACCUGCUAACUGAAGCAUAUAGUUCGGUCAACUCUGCUAUACAUCCAUAUAUUCCAUAUAUUCAUUUAGUUUGUAAAUGUUUUCCAUCAUUGUGCUUGGCAUAUAUUUGUACAUCCAAGUGUUGUGCUUGUUGUAAAUGUGUUGUUUUUACAAAAUCCAAGAUUUGAUUUAAAUUAGUUCACUCGUGUCAUAAAGUCAUCAUCAAAAUGUUUCAGAUCCAUAUAGAUAAAGGUUUUGUCCGAAAUAGAAAGUGAAACGUGUAUCUACUAAAGAUGGGAUGAUAUCAUGUGAUGAUAUAUUAUGAUAUUAAAACAUCACAAAGGGAGUAUCGUGGCGGGAUUGUUAGGGGGAAGAAGAAAACAUGUCCAUAUCUUAAUUCUGGGCUGUGUAGACUGUCCAAGUUUGGUGUUUAAAAAAAAAAACUAAAUUUCAUCCACAUAUCGAAAUAUUUUUUUUUGAAGAAUGUCACGAUGACAUGAUGUAGCUUUAAUUUUUGAAUGGCAUUAAGUGUCAUUCUCUGUCGUUGGGUUCUAUUUGCAGAGUGAUACUUUUUGCAAUAAAUAGGGAAAAAAAAUGUGUUAUUGUUUAAC
rnacentral:lncRNA from 1 species